rnacentral:lncRNA from 1 species
AAAUAUUCAACAUAAAAUAAAUGUAAAAGACAUCGAGAUUCCUGUCUACAUAAGUAAUUUAUUGUUGAGCAUGUAAAGGUAAGAUUUAAAUUCAAGAUGAGAUUGAGAAUUAUUUCUCCCUCAGCUUGCCAAAAGCUUUUGGACUGUCACAGAGGAUGGACUGAAAGAAAUACUGCCUCUCCCUGUUCCCCAGCAGUGUCAGGAUCAACAUCAAUGUUGUCAUGAUGGAAAAGAACAUUUAAAUUAUUUUUACUGGAGAACAAGUAUGAAGGGGGAGACCAGACAAGCAUUAUAAAAUGUCUAUUUCAAUUUACUAGUAAUCUUUAAUGUACUUUGUUACAACUAAGAUGAACACAUUUACAAUAUAAUAACAUGUUUACAAUGGAAAUAUUCAAAACUAAAAGAAGAAUGCUCUAAGUAACACUUUUUGAUUGAGCACUUAGAACUUUGUCAAAAAUCUUCCCACUCCCAGUCUCACAUGGUCUUCACUCCUGUCCUCAUUUUACCAAGUUUGCAGAUUCUCUGUAAGAAACUCUGAACUCAUAUCCAUCCCACCUAAUCUCAAGUCUGGUGGAUUACAGUUAUUUUCACCAGGAUCGUUAAUCAUUUACUGAUCUCGAUGGGCCUUUAUGUAUCUUGGAUGAACAGACACUGCCUAAGGGAAGAGAGGAAGACAGAGGUUCUAUCAUAUCCUCCUGAAGAUUGGUGCAUGUUAGUCCUUGCAGGACAUAUCUAAGUAUGAAAGCAUACUUCCAGUGUCUCUAAGUAUCAAAGAGAGAAAGUACGUGAUCUAAACUUGAGCCAAACUUUAUUAUCUAUGGCAUAUGAACUGAGGUCUCUAGACAAUGUUAAGUAGGAUCUGGAAGUCAUUUUAAAAUGAGGCUAUUAUAAAUGUCCCUUUAGAAAAUAAGCAGAAAGAUUAUAAAAAAGAAUAAUCCUUGGGCUGGGGAUGUGGCUCAAGUGGUAGUGUG